AGCCUCUGCCUCACCCUCCUUGCUUUUGUCUGACUUUCCAGGUGGUGCCUGGUGCACACGAUGAGGGAGGUGCAGCUUCUCCCUUCAGAGUACAGCUGGCACAUCUACACACGUUUUCCACUGCCGAUGACUGACCGAGGGCACCAUGAACUUCAUCUUAGCCACUGCAUGUGUCCAGUGCUCCAGCCAUGUGCAGCACCUGGCACAUCUACACACGUUUUCCACUGCCGAUGACUGACCGAGGGCACCAUGAACUUCAUCUUAGCCACUGCAUGUGUCCAGUGCUCCAGCCAUGUGCAGCACCUGGCACAUCUACACACGUUUUCCACUGCCGAUGACUGACCGAGGGCACCAUGAACUUCAUCUUAGCCACCGCAUGUGCAGCACCUUCUGUGAGGUCUUCCUGGGGAGCUGUCACCAGGUGGCCCCUCUCUCCCUGCUGGGGGACACUGCCUGCUAGGAGUUCAGCAUCUCAGUCCUGUGUGAGUUUUGUGCUCCUCUGUGUCUGCACAGCCUUGAUCCAGUCCUCUGAUUCCCCACACCGGCCUCUCUGUCCUGGUGUCUCUGGGAUGAGGCAUGUCUUCACCCAUGCUCCUUGGCUGACUGCAGGAGAGGUCUGCCUGAGCCCGGUGACAGGGACUGCCAGUCCCAGGAGGCGAGGCAUUCGAGCCUCAGCUUUUUUCAAGGAUGCUUUGAACCCACAUUCUUAUUGCUUGACUUCAAAAGUUAGCCAGUCAAUCAGAAUGUUGGUGAAUAAGAAGAGUCAAUGGUCAGCAAUCAGAAGUGAUGGCCCCCA
rnacentral:lncRNA from 1 species